GCGGCUUUAGCUCAGUUGGGAGAGCGUCAGACUGAAGUGUACUUCGGUCCAGGCAUCUGAAGGUCACCCGUUCGAUCCGGGUAAGCCGCA
rnacentral:tRNA from 1 species